rnacentral:rRNA from 1 species
AUGCCCAACCUGAAGCCACCGGUUACGACAACGGCACGUGCGAUCGCGUACAGAGAUGAGAUCCUCAAGGCGCUGCCUCCCGGGAGCAGCUUUGUGCCGCUCAUGACGCUCUACCUCACGGACAGCACUAGCCCAGAGGAAAUCAAGGUCGCAAGGAAAGAGUGCUGUGGUUUUUGCUGUCAAGUUGUAUCCUGCUGGAGCAACUACUAACUCCCAAGAUGGCGUAACUGGAAAUGCUUGCCUGUCCUUGAAGAGAUGGUCAAGCAGGAAAUGCCUUUACUUGUUCAUGGAGAAGUCACAGAUCCUCAUGUAGACACCUUUGACCGUGAGAAGGUCUUCAUUGAGAAAAUAUUAGCACCACUUGUACAAAAACUUCCACAGCUGAAAAUCGUUAUGGAACAUAUCACUACGAUGGAUGCAGUGAACUUCGUAGAAUCAUGCAAAGAAGGUCAUGUUGCUGCAACAGUGACUCCACAGCAUCUCCUUCUAAACAGGAAUGCGUUGUUUCAGGGUGGUUUACAGCCUCACAAUUAUUGCUUGCCAGUGCUGAAGAGAGAAACCCACAGUAUGUUCUGA